rnacentral:tRNA from 1 species
UCGGAAGGUGCGGCUGGAUCACCUCCUUUCUAGAGUUUGCACGAACAUCAAGCGUUCACACUUAUCGGUGUGUUAUGAAGGCCAUUGCCGCAUUGGGGUCUGUAGCUCAGCUGGUUAGAGCACCGUGUUGAUAACGCGGGGGUCGUUGGUUCGAGCCCAACUAGACCCACCAUCUCAUAUUUGGGGGUUUAGCUCAGCUGGGAGAGCACCUGCUUUGCAAGCAGGGGGUCGUCGGUUCGAUCCCGUCAACCUCCACCAAGACAUCAAACCUAAGUCAUCGUGAAUUAGCGGCGCGAUUUAGGUUUGAUCGUUUCGCGAUCAAUUGGCUGUUUUGUUCUUUAACAAUCUGGAAGAAGUAGUAAAGAUUUAUCAGUUGGAACUGAUAUGUUGUGAUGACGUAUCGGUGGCAACUGGUGGGUUGUGAUUGUAUCAAUCAUAUGUAUGAAAGAGUUCUCGAAUUAAAAAGCGAGUAGUCUGGAAUACGGCAUAUUCAAACUCAGACUCUAUAACCGUUUCUGGCAACAGAAGCAACGUAAGGGACAGCGAAUAAGUGCACAU